rnacentral:lncRNA from 1 species
AAAAUGAUUUUUCUCUAGUUUUCUGAGGCAGAGUUCUCUGUACUUCAAUCAUAUCAAGCUUGUUAUGUGUGUAUUCAAAUUUCUGUAUCUUACUAAUUUUCAUCUGCUUGUCUUAAAAUUGAGAAAGAUACAUUGAAAAUUUGUAUCAUGAUGGUGGGUCUAUCAAUGUGCCCAUUUAGUUCCAUCAUAUAUUUAUAUAUACAUAAAUAUUUUUACAUAAAAUAUUUUACAUAUGUAAAUAUUUAUUUACAUAAAUAUUUUAUUAGAUACAUAUAAUUUUAUAAUUAUUAUGUCUUCCUGGUAAGUUGAACCUAUAAUAUAAGCAUUUGACAGUAAUUUACUUUAUCACUAAUCAUACUCUUUAUCUACUUUAAAGAGAUAAUUUAUAAUUAUUAUAAUUUGUCUCAUAACUCAGCUUUCUCUUGGUUAGUACUUGCCUGUUAUGCCUGUUUCCAUCAUUUUUCUCUUAAUAUUCUCAGUCUUAUGGCUUUAAAUGUGUCUUUUAAAUAUCAGAGAGUUGAAUUUGAAAAUUUUAUCUGCUAGUUUCUGUCUUAUAAUUGAUAGCCAUUUCCAUUUUAAUUAAUUGUGAUUACAAAUGUAUUUGAACCGAUUUCUAUUGUCUCAUUUUAUGCUGUCUAUCUUUUUCUGUUUUCUCUCUGCUUUUUUUUUUUUUUUUUGUGGAGAGGAACACCGUGAACUACACUCAUGCACCCCUCGGCCCUCUUUCGAUCUUCUUGGCAGAAAUCUCUGUUUCCAUCUUCUGCCCAGGUUUUCAUUGGCUUGUUGUUUUUUUUUUUUUUUUUUUAAUAAUUCUCAUUUCCAUCUUGAAGCCCAAUUUCCUAGGACUCACCUUGGAUAUGCUUAAUAUGCCAUCCAAUUAUUGGACAGAAACUGUGUUCAAAUACUUUUACCCACUGAGACUUCCGUCCUCUGCCAAUGAAUCUAUUUGGAUAAAAAAAGUACAUUAUAAAUUCAGGCCUCUUUAUUUAUUUUUUGAAGAUUGGCUCUGGGCUAACAUCUGUUGCCAAUCUUCCUCUUUUUUUUCCUCCCCAAAGCCCCAGUACGUAGUUGUAUAUCCUAGUUGUAAGUCAUUCUAGUUCUUCUAUGUGGGAUGCCACCAUGACAUGGCUUGCUGAGCAGUAUGUAGGUCCACACCCAGAAUCCAAACCACAAACCCUGGGCUGCCAAAGCAGAGCACAUGAACUUAACCACUUGGCCAUGGGGCUGGCCUCUGAGGCCACUUUAAAAUCUGUCCCAGCCUUUACUUUCUGCUGGCCUUUUCCAGUCUCUGCUGUACAUGCUUGCUUCCUUAGCCAGGAAUAUGUAUUUUUGUAGCCUCAAUUGCAAACUCCAGCUCUGUUAGCCAUGCAUAACCUGAUAUCCAUCACUUCUACUAAAAAGAUCACUGAAUUUUGCCACUUCUCCAAAUCUAGUAAUCCUUCUUCAAUUGUGACAGUGAAGCUUCUGGUCUUUACCACCUACCCUUCCUUGGAAGAACUUCUAUGUUGAUGGGGGUAGAAAUAAGACAUUUCUCAGCCAAGAACACUACAGACUCCCACCAUUCUUACCCAAAGUUCCUCAGUUUUUCCAGUAUAAGUGCUUUUCAGAUUGUUGUAUUCUUUUGAUUGAUUUCCAGAGAGCUGAAAUGGUGGCUUUUGUCAAUUUCUUCUAGUUUUAAAGUUGCUUUUUGAGGAAAGAGUUUGUUGACCUUCUCAUACAGCCACAGCCAACUCUCUUUCCCUAUCCUCUUUUUUGAAGGAGGACAAGAAAACUCUGUUACUGAGGAGUCAUUAUAAUUCUUCCUGGAAUCAAAAAUAGGUGCUAUAGAUGUCAGUGAAUUCUGGUCUUUAUCAUUCUGUGGCCUU